rnacentral:rRNA from 1 species
UUAUAAUUAAGGUUAAUUAAUAAGAAAUUAAAUGGAAUCAUUAAAUUUAAAAAAUUUGGCGGUAUUUUAAAUAGUUAGAGGAAUCUGUUAGUUAAAUGAUAGUCCACGAGUGGGGGGUCCUAAAAAAUUUUUAUGUAUUGUUGUAAUAAAAUUAUUUUAAAAAAAAAUAAUUAAGAUAUUAGAUUUAAUUUGAAUUCAAAUCAAAAUGUAGAAUUUUUAGGAUAUAAUGGGUUACAUUUUAAUCUAAUAUUAAUAUUAUUUUUUUAAUAAAAUAAUAUUGUAGGAUUUAAAAGUAAAUUUAAAUAAAUUUUUAAAUUGAAAUAUAAAUUGAAAUAUG